rnacentral:lncRNA from 1 species
UCAGACCAAAGGGUCUCCUGAUUAAUGAGAGAAACAGAGUUUAACUGAUAUAUAUAUAUUCCAGAGAAGUGUCUAUAUAUGUCGUAAGCAAAAACAGAAUGAAACAAUAAAAUAAUGCAAUUUAGAAAAAUGUAACAGAAGAAAAAUGCACACAUACGAAUUCUAACUUCCCUCCUUUUUUUCACUUUGUACUACCCUGACUUUCUUUCCUCCCUCCUUUACUUCUAACUACUUAUUUUAUUUUAAAAAAUAUUUGAGAUAACUGCAUUGAGUUAGAUUAACUAAUGAGAAGGCUUUAAUUUUUAUAUCUCAAUCAUUAAUAUAUUGGAUGGUUAUUCUUAAAUUCAACAGUGUACUCAUGCAUAACGCUCUCUCCUAUUGGAA